CAUUCCCUACGGGGGGCAGCAGUAGGGAAUCUUCCACAAUGGACGAAAGUCUGAUGGAGCAACGCCGCGUGAGUGAAGAAGGGUUUCGGCUCGUAAAGCUCUGUUGGUAGUGAAGAAAGAUAGAGGGAGUAACUGGGCUUUAUUUGACGGUAAUUACUUAGAAAGUCACGGCUAACUAAGUGCCAGCAGCCGCGGUAAUACAUAGGUGGCAAGCGUUAUCCGGAUUUAUUGGGCGUAAAGCGAGUGCAGGCGGUU
rnacentral:rRNA from 1 species